ensembl:lncRNA
GUUUGCUGUUUAGAUUUCCCUAUUUAGUUUGUCCUCUUCUGUUAGCCCUUUAAGAGAUCGUUAUGUUUUUGGUGCCUGUACCUGCCUGGUUUUUCUGCCUCCCCGUUUACCAGUUUGUGCUGGACUCUAGCACAUUCUGAAAUGACUUGCCUACAUCAAGGACUAUCUGGAGGAAGAACGUUCACAUCAGUCACCCAAUGGAUCAAGUGCUUCAGAUGACGAUGACCUCUUCAAGCAUGAAGACAACUCAUGGGCAGGAAAGUGUUAAACAGCUAGAAGGGUUCACUCCAAGUACCGUCGGACAGGGGCCAGCUUCAGCAAGGCCCAACAGGAGUUCUCCUCAGGGUUUCUCACCAACCAGACCUUCCAGAGCGCUGCAGCCACCGCCGCCUCGUAGGGUUGAACUUGAUGCAAGAUAUUAAGAGAUGCUAAGUUUUGGUUCAUAUGAUGAAGACACUGGGUGAUGGUUUAGCUCAAUGGGAAUUAAUGUAUACUCUAAUCUUGUCACUACUGUAUAAGAGAACCUUUCAUUCUUAGCUGAUUGUACCUUGUGAGUUGUGGCCCCCAGACUGUGGAAUAAACUGCCCAUUAUUAUCAGGUCACCCCCCCCCCCCCCCACGAGGCAUCGAAGUCUCGCCUCAAAAUGUGUUUUUAUACUUUGGCGUUGGAGUCGGUGUAGGGACAUUCGAGCUCAACAGUUUUGUGUGCUGCUCGUUUCUAUUCAUUGUUUAUUUUUAUUUUUUUUUGCAUAACUUUGGACAGCACUUUGUUCAGCAUUGGUUGUUUUUAAAUGUGCUUUAUAAAUAAAUUGACUUGACUUAUCCCCCUGUAGAUACUCCGGUUGGUCACUUUUAUUACUCGGCUGGGCUUUAAGUUAUGGGGGAUUGAUCCUGUUUCCCUUUAGAACUAUACAUUAGUUCUGUCAUUGUGGGUAGUGUGGUCAUUAUGAUACACCUAAAUGUUCUUUGCUGACACGGUUUACUGUAAUUUUAACCAAAUACUUGAAGACUAGACAUUAUUUCUGAUGUCACUUCAGCCUCACCGUCUGAAUAUGAAUAAUCUUCAGGAUCUUAGUGUUCUGAGUUUUUGCCUACUGGUUUACGUAUUUUAUUUGAACACAAUUUUUUGAGAAUCUGCAGAUGCCCCCAAGACUACCAGUAACAUUUUAACUAACCCAAACCAUUAUCUUAACUUUGACCCUCCCACUAAACCCGGUACCCAGGCAAACCUUAGCAAGCUAUUCCUUAUCAAUAGUUUG